AACCACCUCCCACCACAACCCAAUCCCCAUCCUCGCACUUCUUCCACCCAACCCAAUAGUCCAUGGAUUAAGAAAAUAAAAAUUAAGAAAGCAAGCUGAUUUAGGGACUCAACAGGUUUCUGAAGUGUGCUGGUUAUUUCUUUUGGGUUUGUUGAUAAUCAUUUGUAUAGAAACCACAAAGGGAAUAAUCAAUUUUUGUUAUUUCCAGUAAUUUCUUUAUGUGGUUCUUUUUUUAGAUUAAGCAGGUGGCCAACCAAAACCCUUGGGCGAUUGGGUUGGGUGGUUGGCAGUGCAAGGUAGGAAGAUUUGGGUGGUCGUGGGAGUUGGUUUCCGG
rnacentral:lncRNA from 1 species